AGUGAACGCUGGCGGUAGGCCUAACACAUGCAAGUCGAACGGCAGCACAGUAAGAGCUUGCUCUUACGGGUGGCGAGUGGCGGACGGGUGAGGAAUACAUCGGAAUCUACUUUUUCGUGGGGGAUAACGUAGGGAAACUUACGCUAAUACCGCAUACGACCUACGGGUGAAAGCAGGGGAUCUUCGGACCUUGCGCGAUUGAAUGAGCCGAUGUCGGACUAGCUAGUGGGCGGGGUAAAGGCCCACCAAGGCGACGAUCCGUAGCUGGUCUGAGAGGAUGAUCAGCGACACUGGAACUGAGACACGGUCCAGACUCCUACGGGAGGCACCAGUGGGGAAUAUUGGGCAAUGGGCGCAAGCCUGAUCCAGCCAUCCCGCGUGUGUGAAGAAGGCCUUCGGGUUGUAAAGCCCUUUUGUUGGGAAAGAAAAGCAGCAGGUUAAUACCCCGCUGUUCUGACGGUACCCAAAGAAUAAGCACCGGCUAACUUCGUG
rnacentral:rRNA from 1 species